UGUCCUGUCAUGUAUAUAACCCUGUUUAAAAAAAAAAAAAAAGAAGCUUACUUUAAUGCAUUAGCCACAAACUAGCAGCUAGCUAUCUAUUAUGCUUUCAUCAUAGAAAUUACAUUUCUAUUAGAACAGAAAUACAACUUUGACUGUCUAUUUAAAUUACAGAGAAAAAAUCCAAGAAACACUGGAUACAUUUUUUGAUGAGCUAAAAUGCUUCACUACUGCUGCUUUGGCAACACACUACAAACAGCAGUGCAUUGGAGGUUUAAGGGCUGUAAGCCAACAGAGAGAUCCAGAGUGUUUACAGUCAGUGGAGCUUUGGUGGCAUAAUUUUGUGUGUAUAAGCAAGGUAACAGGUCCAUCGCUAUAGCAACUGGUUGCCACGGGUGACGAGACACAGCCAGCGCCAGCCAGCAUCCUCAGUUGUUGUCGACGGCAGGCAGAGAAGAGAGAAGGCGAGGGGCAGCCGGAGAAUGGUGACAACUUGUUCAUCCAGGAAAGUGUUGCUUCAGCACUCAGCAGCUUCGGAGUGCAGGGUCUGACCCCGACGCCCAAAAUCACAACUGAGAUCACAGGGACCGAGACCGGCACUGCUGCUGACGCUGCUGCUGCUGCCUCUGCAGGGAGCCCUGUGAGUUGAAAAUGGAAAGGUUUGGGGUGAUGCAGCGAGGUGAACGCUGCCAUAGACCUUUGCAUGAGUGACAGGGGUAUGUGAUGACGUCUCCAGCUGGUAAACCCAAACUGUGGCAUCAUAGGGAGCAAAAACUGUCACUGUCACCCCAAAAGAUUUUGUCAAAACACUGUUAAUAUUUGUUGUGAUAUGUUUGUGUCAGGAGAUGUUGUGUUUAUAUGCAUCGCAGGUGUCAUUGU